rnacentral:rRNA from 1 species
CCUACGGGAUGCAGCAGUGAGGAAUAUUGGUCAAUGGGCGCAAGCCUGAACCAGCCAAGUCGCGUGAGGGAUGACGGUCCUAUGGAUUGUAAACCUCUUUUGUCGGGGAGCAAGGCCCGCCACGUGUGGCGGGAAGGAGAGUACCCGAAGAAAAAGCAUCGGCUAACUCCGUGCCAGCAGCCGGGGUAAUACGGAGGAUGCUAGCGUUAUCCGGAUUUAUUGGGUUUAAAGGGUGCGGAGGCGGAAGGUUAAGUCAGCGGUAAAAUGUCGGUGCUCAACACCGGCCUGCCGUUGAAACUGGUCUUCUGGAGUGAGCGCGAGGUAUGCGGAAUGCGUGGUGUAGCGGUGAAAGGCAUAGAUAUAACGAAGAACUCCGAUUGCGAAGGCAGCAUACCGGCGCUAAACUGACGCUGAGGCACGAAAGCGUGGGGAUCGAACAGGAUUAGAUACCCCUGUAGUC